rnacentral:rRNA from 1 species
GAAAGGCAGGUGUCUCUUCGGAGCAGGGAGACAGGUGGUGCAUGGUUGUCGUCAGCUCGUGUCGUGAGAUGUUGGGUUAAGUCCGCAACGAGCGCAACCUUAUCCUUAGUUACCAGCACGUAAAGGUGGGGACUCUAAGGGAGACCGCCGGGGACGACUCGGAGGAAGUGGGGACGACGUCAAAUCAUCAUGCCCCUUAUGUCUUGGGCUACACACGUGCUACAAUGGCCGCAACAGAGGGAAGCGAGAGCGCAAGCUGGAGACAAAACCCUAAAAAGCGGUCCCAGUUCGGAUUGUGGGCUGCAACCCGCCCACAUGAAGUCGGAGUUGCUAGUAAUCGCGAAUCAGCAUGUCGCGGUGAAUGCGUUCCCGGGCCUU